rnacentral:rRNA from 1 species
GAACGCAGCGAAAUGCGAUACUUGGUGUGAAUUGCAGAAUCCCGCGAACCAUCAAUUCUUUGAACGCAAGUUGCGCCCGAAGCCAUUCGGCCGAGGGCACGCCUGCCUGGGUGUCGUGAAUCCCCUUGCCCCCGGGCACCCGCACGAGCAUCGUCGCGGAUAUGUCCGGGCGCAGAAUAUGGUCUCCCGCCGGGUCGGCGUGCGCGGCACGUCGUGGGGCGGUUGGCCGAAAAUCGAGCAUUGCGACGUCGGGCUCCACGGCGUUCGGUGGAUCGAACGCGAUUGGCUGCGCCGUGGUCCCGUCAUAUGCCGCGGGCUCCGGACUACGAUGAUUCCCGAGUGCGAUCCCAGGUCAGGCGGGGCUACCCGCUGAGUUUAAGCAUAUCAAUAAGCGGAGGAAAAGAAACUAACGAGGAUUCCCUUAGUAGCGGCGAGCGAACCGGGACGUGCCCAGCGUGAAAAUCGUCCGCCUUUCGGCGGCCGAAUUGUAGUCUGGAGAAGCGUCCUCAGUGACGGACCGGGCCCAAGUUCACUGGAAGGUGGCGCCGGAGAGGGUGAGAGCCCCGUCGUGCCCGGACCCUGUCGCAC